GGGCCCGUAGUCGAUUGGUAAGACGUUCCCCUCACACGGGAAAGAUACGGAGUUCGAUUCUCCGCGGGCCCA
rnacentral:tRNA from 3 species